rnacentral:lncRNA from 1 species
CCUGAAAGGCAGGUGCCAGUAGGUGUCACUUCCUGUUGCCACAGUUGAAUGGCAGGUGCCAGUGGGUGUCACUUCCUGUUGCCAGUUGCCGUUUGAGGAUCGAACCCUUACUGCCUGAGAGAGAGAGAGAGAGAAGAACGAGCCAGAAACCCCUUAAACAUGACGUUUUCUGGAGGCUUCUUCUUUCUUCCGCUCAGUGUGACAUGAGCCAGCAGCUUUGAUGACUCUCGAUUGGUUCAGUUUAUUAAGACACUGGGACCCAUCUUCAUGAAAGCAGACCUGCAACCUCAUCAUGAGUCUGAUGUUAGACCUUUCUGAAGCUUUCUACAGAAGAAAUUUGAGACAGAUCUUAGGAAGAUAUAUUGAGGUAAUAUGAGGCCUAUUGUAAAGUUGGUCACGAUGAUUUAAUAAUGCAAACAUGCUUUAUUUCUAUAAUGUACCACUUAAGACAAUCCAAAG